GUCUAUGGCCAUACCACUCUGAACGUGUCUGAUCUCCUUUGGUCUCGGAAGCUAAGCAGGAUGGGGCUUGGUAAGUACUUGGAUGGGAGACCACAUGCGAAUACGGAGUGCUGCAGGGU
ensembl:rRNA 5S_rRNA 5S ribosomal RNA